rnacentral:rRNA from 1 species
UGGGGAAUUUUGGACAAUGGGGGCAACCCUGAUCCAGCCAUGCCGCGUGAGUGAAGAAGGCCUUCGGGUUGUAAAGCUCUUUCGGCCGGGAAGAAAUCGCUCAAGCUAAUACCUUGGGUGGAUGACGGUACCGGAAGAAGAAGCACCGGCUAAUUACGUGCCAGCAGCCGCGGUAAUACGUAGGGUGCGAGCGUUAAUCGGAAUUACUGGGCGUAAAGCGUGCGCAGGCGGCGCCAUAAGACAGAUGUGAAAUCCCCGGGCUUAACCUGGGAACUGCGUUUGUGACUGUGGUGCUCGAGUGCGGCAGAGGGGGGUGGAAUUCCACGUGUAGCAGUGAAAUGCGUAGAGAUGUGGAGGAACACCGAUGGCGAAGGCAGCCCCCUGGGUCGACACUGACGCUCAUGCACGAAAGCGUGGGGAGCAAACAGGAUUAGAUACCCGAGUAGUCCCUGAGCGGGCUGGCAAGGCGCAU